UUCUUUUUCAACUGACCCUCAUCAAGUUCACAAGGGGAUGAUCAUUUCAGAAUUAUCUUUACUGAUGAAGAAAAGAUUGGAAAAGAUCGGUAAGAGAUCUUUGGAACCGAGAGCAAGCUGCACUAAUGAGUCUCCUGAUGCUGUCCCGGCGAUGGGCCCCGCAGAAUCCCAUCAAUAAAACAUGAAGAUGAAGCACCCACGGCCCUAAAGUCAGGAGGGUUUUGAGACAACUCUGUGAGGUCUAUGAAGAAUAAACAAAUUUACAUUUUCUCCUGUAUCUUGCCUCAUUAGUAAGUGCUUUGAAUAGUCAGUCACCUGCAUUGUCAAGGAAGUCUGCCGAUUGGACUGCGUUUUUGAAGUCUUGCCUUUGACAUCAGUAUUCAUUUUAAUGUCAUGCCAUCAAUGUGUCGCCUCAAGAGGAGAUCAUUUCAGUCUUAAUAUAGUCAGGUUCAGCAAACAGAAGCCACAUUAUUAAGGCAAGAAAAGCAAGUCAUUCAGGAAGCUCCAAAACUGAGAAGGCGGUGUGCUAAGUCCUGAAAGACCAUCUUACUACAACUUUUCAGCUUCAUUUUAUCCUUAAGCAAGUGAGAAACAGAGAGAUAACUCUACAGCAAAGCCACUGAGAAAUUAAUAAAAGCAAGACAAGAGAGGAUAAACAUUAAGAAGUUCAACAGCAACUUUAGCAAUGAAGUAUGGGCUACUCAAGAGAAAAGGGAAGAAAUGUCAAAUAGCUUUUGUUUCAAAUGCAUAGCCAACCAGAAUAUAGAAAAUAUAAAGUACACACUACUUUCAAAUUUGGACCAUUAUUUCUAAAUAAGUGAGUGGAAAGAUUUGCGCCAAUUUGUUCUAUUCCAGUCCAAAAAAGAAGACAAACAUGGAAGCCUGUGUUUGAUAUUAUGCACUCAUAUUGCUAUUGAGA